AUUGAACGCAGGCGGCAUGCCUUACACAUGCAAGUCGAACGGUAACAGGUCUUCGGAUGCUGACGAGUGGCGAACGGGUGAGUAAUACAUCGGAACGUGCCUAGUAGUGGGGGAUAACUACUCGAAAGAGUGGCUAAUACCGCAUGAGAUCUACGGAUGAAAGCAGGGGAUCGCAAGACCUUGUGCUACUAGAGCGGCCGAGGGCAGAUUAGUGAGUUGGUGGGAUAAAAGCUUACCAAGCCGACGAUCUGUAGCUGGUCUGAGAGGACGAUCAGCCACACUGGGACUGAGAAACGGCCCAGACUCCUACGGGAGGCAGCAGUGGGGAAUUUUAGACAAUGGGCGCAAGCCUGAUCCAGCAAUGCCGCGUGCAGGAUGAAGGCCUUCGGGUUGUAAACUGCUUUUGUACGGAACGAAAAGCCCCGGGUUAAUACCCUGGGGUCAUGACGGUACCGUAAGAAUAAGCACCGGCUAACUACGUGCCAGCAGCCGCCGUAA
rnacentral:rRNA from 1 species